rnacentral:misc_RNA from 1 species
AUCCGCUCUCUCGUGUGCGAGGUCUCUUCCGUGGUCGCCAGAUAGAUAGACGUGCUGGCACCGCUUCACAGCCAUGCGUCAUCACAUCGCUUCCCCCACAUCCUUUCGCUUUCUCCUCCUCCUCCUCUCCGUGAGUGCCGAGGUCUUGGCAUCCCGUAAUGCCGCCGCGACGAGGCAAGCAGGUCGAUCUCGGUGUGUGGGGGCCGCCCCCGCCACUACCGGCAUCUUCGACAAGAGCGCCGAUGCCAGCGCACGGCGGCGGUGGCGCGGCGUCGGCCGCCGGCCCUUCGCCGGCAUUCCUGCAGCGCUUUGCGAACCGCACGGAGGUGAUCGGCAAGGACGGUGCCCAGGCACCGCGAGGCGUGGCUGCUGCGCCGGCAAGUGCAGAUGACGCUGCACCCGGAGCGCCUCCCAAGCGAAGGGCGUUAGCACCACUCCCCGGGUCGAGGAAGGCAUGUAGUGGAACGCCGGGUACCGCGCCGUCGCUGUCGGCGUCUCCAGCACCGACAACGACGGCGGCCGUAAAGGAUGACGCAACGAGGCCGGCGCGGAUUCGCAUCAUGACCCCGACUGAGCGGGCCCGCCUUGACUCACGGAUGCUGCCGCAAGAACAGAGACCCACGUCGUCCCCAGGUGCUGCGCCACAUCGCGACUCUCGUCUCUCGCCUCCUUCCACUCCAGCGGUGUGUGCGGAGGGGAAGGCCGUGGCGAAGUGCGUUCUUGCCCCGUCCGCUGCUGCGGCCGCCGCUGCUGCCUCCUGUGUUGCUCAGGGGGACGGCAAGGUGGGGAGGUGCAGCUAUCCGCUGUUGCCGUUUCGACGUGACGCAGGCCUUCGUCCAUGCCCGUCCACAGCGUCGCGUGUCGGCACGCCGAUGCGGUUGACGCCCAUGCAGAGCCCCAGUAAGGCGUCUGCGGCCUCGUUGACAGCGCUAACUGUUUCGACGAGCUCAGAGAGAGCCGAGCUCUUGUCAGUGCCGCAGUCCGAACACCCCAUCGAGCCGCUGGGGUAUCGUGAACGACCCGCGCCGACGGCUGCUGCCGCUUCUGCUGCGUCUUCAGGUCACCCACAGCACGCGGGGCCGAUGAAGGUUCCGUCACCGCAGGCAACGAGGCACCAUUCAGACCGAUGCCGGCACUCCCGCUCGCUCGCCACUGCGACUGCGGCUGCCGGCAGCAACAAGUCGGCCACUUACAAGCCGUAUUCACUGAGCUCGUACAAGACGCUCAUGGCAGAUGUUGCGGCGCGCAAGUCUGGCGGUCUGGGGCCCAGCGACACGGAUGAGCAGCGGGCUGCGCGUGAGAAGCGCGAAAGGGCCAAGACGUACGCCAGGCAUGCCGUGAAGGUAGCGCGUGCCGCUCUGGCGGGGGUGGGCUCGUGCGCUGACGAGGGCGAGGUCAACCCCGGCACCAUCAACAUCUCCCCCGUCUCUUCCUCCGCGCGUGCUGCCAGAGCGAGAGGCUCAUCAUCAGCGCGGUCGUCCUCGUCAGACGCAAGCACGACAGCUACGACUAUCACUACUACUUCCACGUCCGCGUCGCGCUCGGCCUCUGCAGAAUUUCCUGAGCAUCGCAGGCAGCCACCGAGAGGCACACCUUGUGCAGCCCCGCCGCCACACGCGACGCCCCCACAGCAUGCGAUGUUGGAGCCGUCAUCGUCGGCCACAUCACCACGACAGCUGUCGGCUGCUGGAGUGAACGGCGGCGAGGUAGCCUCGUCCUGCUCCGGGGCAGAGAGCACCAACGCCAAAAGCCCGAAAUCGGUGCUGCCUCCGCUCUCGGCACCUCCACGCACGUCGCCAGCAGUCGCCGCCUUCGCCGUGGCGGCCGCGCCACGACGACAGAUCAUGCAGGCGCGACGACGUCGCGAGCGCGCCCUGACCUACGCGCGGGAGGUGUCGCAGAAGCGCCGACGGCCAACGCCCGCGGAUUUUGAGGGCGACAACUCGGCUUGUGCGGCAUCGGGCGGGGCGAAAUCGCGAACCGGGCCAGUCGUCAAGAGCGGCGACACGGAUGAAGAUGACAUGUGGCUGGGCAGGACCGCCGUCAUCUCCGCUCCCGGCGCAUUUCGAGGAGCCGAUAUGCCCGAUCCGGAUCGGGCCCAGCGUCUGCAGCGCCUGCUGGAGCUGGAGGCCCUGCACGCCACGAAGAGGGAGGCCGUGGAGGGAAUUCGCCGACAGCUGCGUGCGUGAGAAACGAGGGGAGGCCGAUGACGGGGAAGCGCGCUCUGGCGUGUCUGGGACGUUAGUGGUGUCUUCUCACGGUCUCGCAAACGGACCCCUGCACCGCUUUUGGCAGCGUUGUGGCCGCCGCCGCUUCCUCGAGCGCGCCUCGGAAGCGUUCUAGCUCGGUGGCACUGCUGAAGAGGAACCAUGGAGUCGUGUGUUGCCGAGGUCGUCGCAGUGACGGUGGUGAAGGGGGGCCGCCCAGGGGAGGCGCGGCGAGCCCCCACGCCUCGGGUUUUCAACUGCGGACGAUGUACCAGAGGGGCCCG